rnacentral:rRNA from 1 species
GAUGAACGCUGACAGAAUGCUUAACACAUGCAAGUCGAUGGGGAAGUGGUGCUUGCACCAUGGCAACCAUGGCGGACGGGUGAGUAACGCGUAAGGGACUUACCUGCAGGACUGGGAUAACAGGGGGAAACUCCUGACAAGACCGGAUAAUGUCAUGGAGCUGCAUGGCUUUAUGAUGAAAGGAGACGCCUGCGGAGAGCCUUGCGUCCUAUUAGCUAGUUGGUGAGGUAAUGGCUCACCAAGGCGAAGAUAGGUAGCCGGCCUGAGAGGGUGGACGGCCACAAGGGGACUGAGAUACGGCCCUUACUCCUACGGGAGGCAGCAGUGGGGAAUAUUGGACAAUGGGGGCAACCCUGAUCCAGCAAUUCUGUGUGCGCGAAGAAGGUUUUCGGAUUGUAAAGUGCUUUCAGCAGGGAAGAAGUAAGUGACGGUACCUGCAGAAGAAGCGACGGCUAAAUACGUG